UCUGACACAGGUGCUGCAUGGCUGUCGUCAGCUCGUGUCGUGAGAUGUUGGGUUAAGUCCGUAACGAGCGCAACCCUUGUCCUUAGUUACCAGCACGUUAUGGUGGGCGACUCUAAGGAGGACUGCCGGUGGACAAACCGGAGGAAGGUGGGGAGUGACGUCAAGUCAUCAUGGCCCUUACGGCCUGGGCUACACACGUGCUACAAUGGUCGGUACAAAGGGUUGCCAAGCCGCGAGGUGGAGCUAAUCCCAUAAAACCGAAUCGUAGUCCGGAUCGCAGUCUGCAACUCGACUGCGUGAAGUCGGAAUCGCUAGUAAUCGUGAAUCAGAAUGUCACGGUGAAUACGUUCCCGGGCCUU
rnacentral:rRNA from 1 species